AUUUUCUAUUUCAGUGAACCGUAAAAAUUGGGGUCAAAACUCUAAUUUGGCAUUUAAAUUAGAAAGAUCAUAUCAUAGGGCACAUGUAUACUAAGUUUCAAGUUGAUUGGACUUCAACUUCAUCAAAACUACCUUGACCAAAAACUUUAACCUGAAGCCAAAACUUUAACCUGAAAUUUGCACUAUCAUUUUCUAUGUUCAGUGAAGAAAAUUGGGGUCAAAACUCUAAUUUGGCAUUUAAAUUAGAAAGAUCAUAUCAUAGGGCACAUGUAUACUAGUUUCAAGUUGAUUGGACUUCAACUUCAUCAAAAACUACCUUGACAAAAAACUUUACCUGAAGCCAAAACUUUAACCUGAAAUUUGCACUAUCAUAUGA
rnacentral:lncRNA from 1 species